rnacentral:lncRNA from 1 species
CUGGCGGUCUACAUGGCCAAAUCAAGGACAAAAUCAUCACAGAUUGGCAGCAAUACUGCUUUAAAUGGGAGGAAGGACCAAAUUUAUCAGGUUUUACCCAUUGAGGGACUAAAUGUCUAGCAAAAAACUUGAAAGGCCAGUUAUAUACUUUUGUGGCAAUUGAAGGACGAAAAAUAUUUUUCUCUAUAUAUAGAAACAAAUUUUACCAGUAUUGUACCAUUUCCCCUAGUCGUAGAGUCGCCGCAGACUUCUCGGCUCCCAGCUCCUGCUGCCGUUCAGUCGCUGAAUCAACACAAUCAUUAUUCUAAUUAUCUAUUUCCACGGACAACAAAUAGUCAAACUAGGGUAUUUUUUAACAGGAAAAGCAGCAGGAGAGGCUCCUUCUGCAUCAAUAUAUUAAUUAAAAGAACAAGUACAAAAGAGCUUUACAUCAUGUGUACAAAAGAGGAAAAAAAAACACAGGGGAGCGAAGUCCCAAAAUCAAAAAAGUUCAGCAAGGAUCAAAGAUAGCUUGGAUAUGAACUUCUCCACUACUACAAAACGGUC